GCGCCAGUGGUGUAGUGGUAUCAUGCAAGGUUCCCAUCCUUGCGACCCGGGUUCGAUUCCCGGUUGGCGCA
rnacentral:tRNA from 1 species